CAUUUAACGCAGAUAAGGAAUAGUAGAUGAUGGCCAGGUUUUCAGAGAGAACAUGGCGGUGUGAAUGUUUAGCUAGGCAUUAUCGAACUCGCCUUUGAGUCUUUGACUGAAUCAAGUAGGUUGAAGCGGUGGUAAGCCGUUAUCUUAUUGAGAGCCGAUUAAAUCGGAAGAUAGGUGGUACCGCGAUCAUUCGUCCUAUCC
rnacentral:ncRNA from 1 species